ensembl:lncRNA
UGUCAUUAAAGCAGCACUAAGUCUUUAUUGGGGUAAUUUAAUUUUCCCUUUCAUAUCAGGAUGAUUUCCUUUGUUGGGGUAGGUGCUGGGGAGGGGGAAGGGCCCAUGCAGACAAUUCCUAUUGUCGGGAUAAAUAAUUCCCCUGCGGAUUGACAGGGGGGCGGCGGGCUGGGGGCUGGGCGCUGUCACUCACUGGGUGCCAGCAGGAGCUGGGUGCUGUGGGGUGCUGUGGGGUGCCGUGGGGUGCUGUGGGGCACUGAGCCUCCUCCAAAUCAUGCAGUCUGCAGGCUCAGGAGGGCACUAGGUCCUUUUUGGGGGUCCCCCAUGCAGCAUGGGAGCAGGGUGGGUGGGUGAUGGGGAACCCCAUUUUCCACUCACACCCAGCACCGUGUCCCCAAGGAACGGGGUCCUUGCAGCCCUCCUGCAGCCCACCCCAGUGGUCCCACCUUCCCCGAAGCCCCCGAGCGAGGGGGAGAGGGGCUGCAGCAGGGGACGUCACGCCCGGAACGCAGCCACCGGCUUGCGGGUAAUUAGCAGCCGCUUCAAGAGGAGUGAUGAGGAACCGGUGACAGGCGGGCGGGUUGCUAUUAAAAGCUGCCACGUGUGAUCCUUCCCCGAGCCUGCCGGCCCCUCCUUACCUAGCGCACGGGGGAAUCAGAUGCAAACCUGACAUUAACGCACCGUUCGGGGCCAGCUCUAAUUGCAGGAGCCGGGGCUGGGGGGAAGGCGGCCGGGCGAUGGAGCCCUCGCCUCUGGGUGCCGAGGGGGGAGGCACGAGGCGGCUGCAGCGUUUCGGCGCCCCGCGGGUCCCCGUGAGCGCAGGCACUCGCCGAAAUGUUAAGGGCUUGUUUGCAUCCAGCGGAAGGGAAGCGCCGGCGGAGGGCCGGCGUGCCAAGUGCUCCCGCGUGCCUUCCGGAGCCGAGAGGCCGGGAAGAGCUCAUCCGCGCUGGGAAGCAUCCUCGAGUGGCUCCUCCACAUGCUCAGCCCCCGAAAUGCCUCUUUCCAGCCUCAUGGGGCUUGUUUUCCCCGGUCUAAAGGCUUUCCAGGGCAUCCUGGGCAUCAGAGGAGCAAUUAACUUGAAGGGAGACAUCAUUGCUAAUUGAGCAGUGAAGAUCAGGAGCAACAAUUACGCCUUUUGACAAGAGACAGCACAAGAGGGACUGCUCCGAGGCUGAGAAUGGUAGGGAACGGUUUCUAUGGCAAUAUAACUUUCCUCUCUUCCUCUCCAGCCAUAGAAAUGAUAAAAAUGUAGAUUUCUCCCUGAUUAAUGAUUUAAUGAAAAUAAAGAAAAUUCUUAAAAAAAAAAAUGAAAAGGG